rnacentral:ncRNA from 1 species
UAAUCAUUGCCACCGGGCAGUUAAUCACUUCUAUAGGUCAUAGAAGAAGUGAUUGGCUGCCCUUUUUUUAU